CCGGAUGCGAAACUUUCGGUCCGGCAGGACCUGAGGGCACCGGCUCUCUUCUCCGGUGCGCCUCGUGCUCAAAUUGCUCGUUGGAGGAUUUGGAUAUGAGGA
rnacentral:sRNA from 1 species